rnacentral:misc_RNA from 1 species
GAUGAAGAACGUAGCGAAAUGCGAUAAGUAAUGUGAAUUGCAGAAUUCAGUGAAUCAUCGAAUCUUUGAACGCACAUUGCGCCCGCGAGUAUUCUCGCGGGCAUGCCUGUCCGAGCGUCAUUUCAACCCUCAGGGCCCGCCUGCUUGCAGGCGCGGCGCUGGUGUUGGGGAUCGGCUACCCUGCCGUCCCCCAAAUACAGUGGCGGUCUCGCUGCAGCCUCCCCUGCGUAGUAGCAACACUCGCAUGCGGAGCGCGGCGCGGCCACGCCGUAAAACCCCCGACUUUCUGAACGUUGACCUCGGAUCAGGUAGGAAUACCCGCUGAACUUAAGCAUAUCAAUAAGCGGAGAA